GACGGAGGAUGCAAGCGUUAUCCGGAAUGAUUGGGCGUAAAGCGUCCGCAGGUGGCAGUUCAAGUCUGCUGUGAAAGACCGGGGCUUAACUUCGGAAAGGCAGUGGAAACUGAACAGCUAGAGUAUGGUAGGGGCAGAGGGAAUUCCUGGUGUAGCGGUGAAAUGCGUAGAGAUCAGGAAGAACAUCGGUGGCGAAGGCGCUCUGCUGGACCAUAACUGACGCUGAGGGACGAAAGCUAGGGGAGCGAAUGGG
rnacentral:rRNA from 1 species